GAUCAUUACUGAUUUGCUUAAUUGCACCACAUGUGUUUUUCUUUGAAACAAACUUGCUUUGGCGGUGGGCCCAGCCUGCCGCCAGAGGUCUAAACUUACAACCAAUUUUUUAUCAACUUGUCACACCAGAUUAUUACUAAUAGUCAAAACUUUCAACAACGGAUCUCUUGGUUCUCGCAUCGAUGAAGAACGCAGCGAAAUGCGAUACGUAAUAUGAAUUGCAGAUAUUCGUGAAUCAUCGAAUCUUUGAACGCACAUUGCGCCCUCUGGUAUUCCGGAGGGCAUGCCUGUUUGAGCGUCGUUUCUCCCUCAAACCGCUGGGUUUGGUGUUGAGCAAUACGACUUGGGUUUGCUUGAAAGACGGUAGUGGUAAGGCGGGAUCGCUUUGACAAUGGCUUAGGUCUAACCAAAAACAUUGCUUGCGGCGGUAACGUCUACCACGUAUAUCUUCAAACUUUGACCUCAAAUCAGGUAGGACUACCCGCUGAACUUAAGCAUAUCA
rnacentral:misc_RNA from 1 species